AAAUCAAAGCCUAGCAGAUACUUUCAGAUGUUUCAAUAGACUACAAACACAAUUCACACAUUUGGCCAUUAUAUUUCCCUCACAUCUCUUCUCCAAGUGGAGCUCACACUUACAUCCAGAUCUGCAGAAAGAAUAUCUUGUCAAUACAAAAUUAAUUGAAAUGGUAUAAUAAGCAAACAAAUGAAGACAAUAGCUGUCACCGAAUAAUCAAUGGAGUAACCUAGUCACUACUGCCCAAACUAUGACAAAGAGCUGCACCGAAUAACUGCUAUUAUCACAAUUAGAUCAUGCUGCACCUAUGUGUUUACCCUGCCUUCUGCAAUGUUCUUCAUUCAUUGCAGCACACGCUCUAACACUGGCUUCCUAGUAGUCUCACCAAUAUCCAAAUGCAGAACCAAAUGCAACGGCCGCCUGUUGCCACCCCUUCAGUUGCACACGCGCGUAUCAGAUCGGAUAUGAAUACAAAUUGCUUGAGUUUGGAAGCUCGGUUCCGCAUAGUAGGGAAGGGUCUAAUGGAGAGGAAUGUGGCAGCGCCAGGCGAGAGAAGGGUUCGGCGGCGCCGAGUUAGAUGCCCCACCACCACCACUAGUGCAUAAGGGGCAGCCGUCGUCACGGGAGCACCCACGACCUGCACGCAUCAAGACCAUAGUCGAUGUUGCCGUAGUCAGGAGCUGUCAUGGCAAGCAUUUGACAGACGCGUCCGCAUUAGAUGCUGCAGCUGUCGGCUGCGCUAUCCAGCGCGUACGCGCUCUACCGCCAUCGUCACCACUCUGGCCUGAGCCACA
rnacentral:lncRNA from 1 species